GACAAUGGGCGGAAGCCUGAUCCAGCAACGCCGCGUGAGGGAUGACGGCCUUCGGGUUGUAAACCUCUUUCAGUACCGACGAAGCGGAAGUGACGGUAGGUACAGAAGAAGCACCGGCCAACUACGUGCCAGCAGCCGCGGUAAUACGUAGGGUGCGAGCGUUGUCCGGAAUUAUUGGGCGUAAAGGGCUCGUAGGCGGUUUGUCGCGUCGGGAGUGAAAACACUGGGCUUAACUCAGUGCUUGCUUCCGAUACGGGCAGACUAGAGGCAUGCAGGGGAGAACGGAAUUCCUGGUGUAGCGGUGAAAUGCGCAGAUAUCAGGAGGAACACCGGUGGCGAAGGCGGUUCUCUGGGCAUGUCCUGACGCUGAGGAGCGAAAGUGUGGGGAGCGAACAGGAUUAGAUACCCUGGUAGUCCACACCGUAAACGUUGGGCGCUAGGUGUGGGGCCUAUUCCAUGGGUUCCGUGCCGCAGCUAACGCAUUAAGCGCCCCGCCUGGGGAGUACGGCCGCAAGGCUAAAACUCAAAGGAAUUGACGGGGGCCCGCACAAGCGGCGGAGCAUGCGGAUUAAUUCGAUGCAACGCGAAGAACCUUACCUGGGUU
rnacentral:rRNA from 1 species